UAAGUUGGGAUCAUGUCCA
rnacentral:siRNA from 1 species